GAAUGCUGUAACUGUACCAGGAAUCGUAUAGACCAAGUCUUCAACCAUUGCUGAAGCUGCUGUCUCAUUUUACUGGGACUCUCUCCAGAACUCUAAGCCUCCGUCACUGAAGAGCUGGCAGGGCCUAACCUUCUCCCACCCACGUGAGAGAGUCUCAGGAACUGUUAUAAGAUGAAUGGUGUACCCACCUAAGAAGAGGCAGAAACACUCUAUUGUGGGGAAGGCAGAGGAGAAAUCCAGCCCGGGGAUCAAGGCUUCCAGAUGUGGGAGCGGCAGCUUUCAGAAGCCUCCACAGCUAGCGUCUUAUGCUGGACACACGCGGGACCAUGGAUUGCACCUCAUGAAGCCCCAGCCACCACAGUAGCCCAGCACUGUGUUGAAUGCUGGGUCAAGCCUGCAGGCUCCUCGGCCCAUCACAGUGGGGGAAGU